GACGAACCGUGCGAACGUUGUUCGGAAUCACUGGGCUUAAAGGGCGCGUAGGCGGCUUCGCAAGUCCGGGGUGAAAGCCCCCAGCUCAACUGGGGAAGUGCCUUGGAUACUGCGGGGCUCGAGGGAGGUAGGGGUGUGUGGAACUUCCGGUGGAGCGGUGAAAUGCGUUGAUAUCGGAAGGAACGCCGGUGGCGAAAGCGACGCACUGGACCUCUUCUGACGCUGAGGCGCGAAAGCCAGGGGAGCAAACGGG
rnacentral:rRNA from 1 species